ACGCAGGGCGGCCUUUAACGUGCCUGAAGGAAAUUCCUACUAAAGAUAAAACACGAGGGAAAUAAUCUAUUGAAAUCACAGUCUAGUACAAUCUGCAAAAAUAGAUAACGUUGUUGAUAUUUUAUUCCACUGACUGCGUCAUAUAAAGGCAACCUGAAGUGAAAACGAGAGCUGAGACUAAGGCAGUCAAACGUCAAAUGUGAGAAGAGGAGUUCCUCACUUGCUCCAUGUAGGACACCAGAGCCUCUCUGUUGGCAAGCCACUCACUGGCUAGAGCUGACGCUGGAGGAAACUUAUCACAGCUGAGCUCCAGAGUAAUCUCAAAGCAGUUCGUAUGGAGGGCUGAUGCAGAAUUUAUGGGCUCUGGAGAAGAAAAAAAAACAUCAGGCUGAAAAAACAUCAUUUGACUUCAGGGUGCAGUCAUGAAUUUGUUUUCAUACAACAACACAAAACAUGAGCUUAGAAAACUUUUAUUAAAUAACUUACCAGAUUUGUACUCUCCAUUGCAACUGAUUGCUUAAAAGAAUUAUAAACAUUCAAUAAAUACCUGCUUCAUGAUGAAAUACACUAUAACUAAAUAAAAAAAUGACUGCUU